AAGAUCUCCUUGAAGGAAAAGCAGAGAGGAUAGUUUGUCAGAAUUGCAAAAUCACUGAAUUAGUGGAUACCUUCAAUGAUCCCUAAUUUACUAAUAAUUAAAAAAACAGUUCCUAAAAUGCAGCUUUUAUAUUUUGUCUAACAGGAAAUAAUUUGAGGCUAUUUUAGACGGGCUAAACUUAAACCUUUCCAUACUUGGCAAGGUUUAUUCUCUCUUCUAGAGUACAAGAGUUAACACUCCUACUCAAUAUCUCAUUUAACCUCGUUAAAUCCCUUCUAUUCACAUCAAACUCUCUUAAGCUACCAUUCAGUAAUUUAGAGUGGGGUUAUAAGAGAAAGAU
rnacentral:lncRNA from 1 species